rnacentral:rRNA from 1 species
UACGUAGGGGGCAAGCGUUGUCCGGAUUUAUUGGGCGUAAAGCGCGUGUAGGCGGCCAGGUAGGUCGGAUGUGAAAGCCCUCGGCUCAACCGGGGAAGUGCACUCGAAACUGCAAGGCUAGAGUCUCGGAGAGGAUCGUGGAAUUCUCGGUGUAGAGGUGAAAUGCGUAGAUAUCGGGAGGAACACCAGUGGCGAAGGCGGCUACCUGGCCCACUCUUGACGCUGAGGCGCGAAAGCUAGGGGAGCAAACGGG